UGCUCUCCGCAAACACGCACGUGCACACCCACGCUCACACGCACAUACAAAGCCGAUACGCACGCGCGGUCCCGCUGUCGUGGCGUCGUCUCUUGUCGUGUACUCCGCUGGCCUCCUCACUGCUGCUCCGGUAUCGAGACUGCGCACCGCCCCCGCUCGCCCUCCGGACAGACUUGGACACGAGGCACCGUUGCGGAGAGGUUUGGCGCUCGCGCUUGUGGACCACAGCCACAUGGUGGUACCCGGUACGUGCAUGUAUUCAACUUGCGGAUGGUGGGAGAGAAGCAGCCAUUGACCCUGUCGCGGACUUGUCCCUUAAAGAGGCAGAGCAGCGCGAAUGAGCUCAUCAUCGCCGUCUCAGUCGCCUGCAUCGAGUUCGGUAGUGCCGGAGCGGGGUUACGUGACUGCGAGCGCGGCCCCGGCAACGUCUCCGGCAGCGCUAGUGGAGUCGACGGAGAAGUAUGAGAACAUCUGCGGGAUUUGCCUCACCGACAUCCACCCGGUCGACAACCCGCGGGGGCGCCUCAACUCGUGUGGCCAUCUCUUCUGCUCGUAUUGCAUCAAAGAGUGGGCCAAGAACACGAAUGUGUGCCCAAACUGCAAGGCGCGAUUCACGCGCAUCUACACCUUUCACGCGGACUCGGGAAAGGAGGAGGAGACGAAGGUGCGCAAGCGCAACUAUGUUGCGUGGGAGACCUCUUACUACGACGAGGAGGGGGAGGACGACGCAGUCAACGAGGAGGCGCUGCUGAAUAGCGUACUGUGUGAUGUGUGCAAGAAGUCCGACAAUGCGGCGCGUAUGAUUUUCUGCGACCGGCGCCAAUGUGUCUACACCGCCCACCUUGACUGCCUCGGCUUGGCGGAGCGGCCCAUAACGUUUUUGUGCGCCGCCUGCAGGAAGUUGCGGGAGGAGGAAGGGGACGACCAUGUACCGUUGGCACAAACCUUCAGCGCGGCGUCGUUUGCUGCUGCUUCGCCGGAGCCACCCGUGCCACCGACGCCGGUGACAGUGGCAGCGGCACCGACGCGACGCCGAGCGACGGCACGUGCAGCUCCGACACCUGCCGUAGCUGCACAGACGCGAGCUACCGUUGCUGCAGUCGACACGUGCGGUGGUGGUCCAAGUGCGGAGGCUCCCACGAGUGUGUCCUCUCGUCUGGCAUCGACUUCGACAGUGACGGCUGCCCCCAGGAGUCGUAUGCCUCGAAUGACCAACAACUCCUCUGUGGAAUGCCCGAGCGACCGCCGAAGCUCCUCCUCGGCGUCGUCGUCGGCGUCUAUGCGGACGGAGUCUUCGACGGUGCCGCGUGUCCGCAUCGACUUUUCGAAGCCGCAUCUGCCCCUAAUGACCCCGGCCACGACGACGUCGCAGCCGAGUUCGAGACACAUUCCUACGCCUCUGCACACGGAGGUUGCCAGCGCGGCGGACCAGGAAUACUACUUCCUCGCCCCCGUAUCGCAUGCCGUUGCAGCUAUGAUUGAGCUGAACCGGGUGAAGCAGGCGCGCGCGGCAGCGGCGCAGACCCGACUUCAGCGCGAGCGUGCCAAGGCAGAGCGCCUGCAAGCGGCGUACGAUGCCCACCGCAGUGAUCUACUCCCGAGUGGCGCCCGGAAGAGAGCCCAUCGCAGCGUGGCGGAUGAGGUGAUCGCAGAGCUCGAGUCGGCAGAGGAGGAGUUUCGUGAUCCGCAGCAGAGGCGCCUGAUGGAGGAGCGCAUGGUGCGUAAGUGGGCCGCCGACAUACUCCCCGUGCUACGACGCCGGCGCUACAUAGAAGGCGACACCGCCACGGCGGAGAGUGAUUUGUGGGCACAGGCGAUCUCGCAGGCUCGCACAAUGGUGCGCCAGAAGCUGGGGGCGAAGAGUGAAUCGCUGCGGCGCCGACGUGAGCAACUUGUGCGUGCGCAGGCACACCGAGAGGCAGCGGCGCUAGCGAAGCUCGCGCGCAUUAUUGCACAGCACCGAGAAGGCUCGCUGAGAGCGGACUAGUCCGCUGCACCAUGUGAUGCCUUUGGCCGAAGCUUGCGGCACUGCUCGCAACGGUGAAACAAAACGGCGCACCGAAGCCGUGCACCUGCACAGACGGUUCUGGUGCUGGGCAGAGACGCGUGCGGGGUAAUAUGAUGGCAUGUAUUCUGUCUUGGCUGUUACGGCGCGCACAAUCCUCUCCCUUCCUGCGGAGUACUGCUCGCCUCACCCGCGUGAGGCCCCGAGCCGGAAGGAGAAAUGAAACAGCAGAAGAAAAACUGACUGUGGACCUCCAGCGGUGCGUAUAAAACCGCGUAGACGACCGCGCCACCUUUGGCCCUCCACCUUCCCACGGACACUCACGCGCAGCGCAAAAUCGUAUGUCGCUGGGCAUGUGCACUGCGGCGUUUUGUCUUGGCGGCGCACCUCGCGGAUGCUUUGUCUUCUCCUUCAGUUGUUGUGGCCAAACGCGGUACUUGGUGCGCCCAUGAUGGGCUGCCCAUACCCACCACCUCCACCUUCCCCUCCCCCCUACACACGCGCGCGUGCCCCUAUGGCCGAUGGCACCGGUGCCGUGCUCGCCUUCCUGCCACAUCGCUCAUUCGCUCUGUUUUUCUCCACGUCGCGGCGGACAUUCUAAACGCGCCGUGUUGCGUUUGCCGCCGCUCUCGCCUCACAG
rnacentral:misc_RNA from 1 species